GCGUCAGUAGUACAACGGAUUAGAGCGCGCGCUCUCGGAUAGAGUGAGAUGUGGGCUCGAGUCCCGCCUGACGCA